rnacentral:rRNA from 1 species
AUGAAGGGAUUCAUGUGUAAACAAGAAAAGCAGACUUACAGGGCUGUUGAUAGCCCAUACAUGAUGCAAUUCACUUGCUUUAGUACUGCUAUUCCCCAGCCGGCUGAUGAAGAAAACUUCCCGUACUACACUUACGACCUCCUGUCCUUCACGGAUAUCCUAAUGUCAGGCCCAAACACUCGUCACUUUCUCGAUGUCAUUGGUCGAAUUACUAUGGUGACCGACAUAGUUAUUGUCCACUCUCAAUACCAGCAUGAACCUUCAGAAACCAGGACUAUAGUUCUCGAAGAUCAAGCAGGGAAUGAGAUCAAGCUUGUUCUUUGGGGUGCUCGAGCUCGUGAGUUUGAGGCAGAAGAGGUCCAUAUUGCAAGCGAAUCAGGAGCUGCCAUUGCUAUCUUUGUGGGGACACCGCCAAAAACCUACCGAGGAAUUAAAGGACUAAGUGGUAGCUCUGCUUGCCGCUGGUACAUUAAUGAGGACUUGCCAGAGAUGAAUGCCUUUCGUGCUAGCCUUCCAGAAAGUCUUGCUGCUGUCACUGCUCUCAUACCAGGAGAACAGGCAAUUGUUCCAGCACCUGUUCGUGAGCCUCCUGUCGAACUGAGUGUUCAACAGCUGAUUUGCUCUUGA